rnacentral:lncRNA from 1 species
AUGCUGCUUGAUUAAGGUCGAUUUGCACAACAACAAACAGGAUAUCCACUGCAGGUGUUUGAGCAGGUAAAUCAGAUUGCCAUAAGGGCACGGAAAUCAUUGCCCAACAGAGGGAAGCUAGUGAAAACUUGACUUUCAUAUUGACUUCCCAGAUGGACACACGACCAGACGGAACCUCUUUGGGUGCCGGAGAGAUUGGUGAGACACUGCAAGAAUGAGGCUCCUGAUCCAGUUGCCCCUGUGGAUGUGGUGGAUGAUCCCACAAGCACAAAGGAUGGAGCCGAGAUGAGAGAUCCUUUCGGUAUUCCAGAAGCCGAUACCAGCUCGACAUGA